rnacentral:rRNA from 1 species
AGAGUUUGAUCCUGGCUCAGAUUGAACGCUGGCGGCAUGCCUUACACAUGCAAGUCGAACGGCAGCACGGGGGCAACCCUGGUGACGAGUGGCGAACGGGUGAGUAAUACAUCGGAACGUGUCCUGGAGUGGGGGAUAGCCCGGCGAAAGCCGGAUUAAUACCGCAUACGCUCUGUGGAGGAAAGCAGGGGACCCGCGAGGGCCUUGUGCUAGGGGGGCGGCCGAUGUCCGAUUAGCUUGUUGGUGGGGUAAUGGCCUACCAAGGCAACGAUCGGUAGCUGGUUUGAGAGGAUGAUCAGCCACACUGGGACUGAGACACGGCCCAGACUCCUACGGGAGGCAGCAGUGGGGAAUUUUGGACAAUGGGGGCAACCCUGAUCCAGCCAUGCCGCGUGCGGGAAGAAGGCCUUCGGGUUGUAAACCGCUUUUAGCCGGGAAGAAAGCUGUACGGACAACACCCGUGCAGGUUGACGGUACCGGCGGAAUAAGCACCGGCUAACUACGUGCCAGCCGCCGCGGUAAUAC